rnacentral:rRNA from 1 species
GACAGAGGGUGCAAACGUUGUUCGGAAUUACUGGGCGUAAAGCGCGUGUAGGUGGCAAGGUAAGUCGGGUGUGAAAGCCCUGGGCUCAACCCGGGAAGUGCAUUCGAUACUGCCAAGCUAGAGUCCCGGAGAGGAUGGUGGAACUCUCGGUGUAGAGGUGAAAUUCGUAGAUAUCGAGAAGAACACCGGUGGCGAAGGCGGCCAUCUGGACGGUGACUGACACUGAGACGCGAAAGCGUGGGGAGCAAACAGG